rnacentral:rRNA from 1 species
CCUACGGGAGGCAGCAGUGGGGAAUAUUGCACAAUGGGGGAAACCCUGAUGCAGCGACGCCGCGUGAGUGAAGAAGUAAUUCGUUAUGUAAAGCUCUAUCAGCAGGGAAGAAAAUUACGGUUCCUGAGUAAGAAACCCCGGCUAACUACGUGCCAGCAGCCGCGGUAAUACGUAGGGGGCAAGCGUUAUCCGGAUUUACUGGGUGUAAAGGGAGCGUAGACGGCAGUGCAAGUCUGGAGUGAAAGGCGGGGGCUCAACCCCCGGACUGCUCUGGAAACUGUACGGCUGGAGUGCAGGAGAGGUAAGUGGAAUUCCUAGUGUAGCGGUGAAAUGCGGAGAUAUUAGGAGGAACACCAGUGGCGAAGGCGGCUUACUGGACUGUAACUGACGUUGAGGCUCGAAAGCGUGGGGAGCAAACAGGAUUAGAUACCCCAGUAGUC